rnacentral:rRNA from 1 species
AGCGAACGCUGGCGGCAGGCCUAACACAUGCAAGUCGAGCGGACGUAGCAAUACGUCAGCGGCAGACGGGAGAGUAACACGUGGGAACGCGCCCUUCGGUUCGGGAUAACUCAGGGAAACUUGGGCUAAUACCGGAUACGCCCUUACGGGGAAAGAUUUAUUGCCGAAGGAACGGCCCGCGUCCGAUUAGCUUGUUGGUGAGGUAACGGCUCACCAAGGCGACGAUCGGUAGCUGGUCUGAGAGGAUGACCAGCCUCACUGGGACUGAGACACGGCCCAGACUCCUACGGGAGGCAGCAGUGGGGAAUAUUGGACAAUGGGCGCAAGCCUGAUCCAGCCAUGCCGCGUGGGUGAUGAAGGCCCUAGGGUUGUAAAGCCCUUUCGGCGGGGAAGAUAAUGACGGUACCCGCAGAAGAAGCCCCGGCUAACUUCGUGCCAGCCGCCGCCGUAA